rnacentral:rRNA from 1 species
CUCUGCUAUCAGUUUUCUAUUUCUCAUCCUAAACACAAUGGAGUUUUUUCUCUAUGAACUACUUCCCUGGAGAGCUCGUCUCUCCAGUGGACAUAAACACAAACAAUAUUUUGUAUUAUGAAAAACUAUUAUACUAUAAAAUUUAAUAUUCAAAACUUUCAACAACGGAUCUCUUGGUUCUCGCAUCGAUGAAGAACGCAGCGAAUUGCGAUAUGUAUUGUGAAUUGCAGAUUUUCGUGAAUCAUCAAAUCUUUGAACGCACAUUGCGCCCUCUGGUAUUCCAGGGGGCAUGCCUGUUUGAGCGUCAUUUCUCUCUCAAACCUUUGGGUUUGGUAGUGAGUGAUACUCGUCUCGGGUUAACUUGAAAGUGGCUAGCCGUUGCCAUCUGCGUGAGCAGGGCUGCGUGUCAAGUCUAUGGACUCGACUCUUGCACAUCUACGUCUUAGGUUUGCGCCAAUUCGUGGUAAGCUUGGGUCAUAGAGACUCAUAGGUGUUAUAAAGACUCGCUGGUGUUUGUCUCCUUGAGGCAUACGGCUUUAACCAAAACUCUCAAAGUUUGACCUCAAAUCAGGUAGGAGUACCCGCUGAACUUAAGCAUAU